rnacentral:rRNA from 1 species
CCUACGGGCGGCAGCAGUAGGGAAUCUUUCACAAUGGGCGAAAGCCUGAUGGAGCAACGCCGCGUGCAGGAUGAAGGCCUUCGGGUUGUAAACUGCUUUUAUAAGCGAGAAAUAUGAUGGUAACUUAUGAAUAAGGAUCGGCUAACUACGUGCCAGCAGCCGCGGUCAUACGUAGGAUCCGAGCAUUAUCCGGAGUGACUGGGUGUAAAGAGUUGCGUAGGUGGCAUAAUAAGUAGCUAGUGAAAUCGGGUGGCUCAACCAUUCAGACUAUUAGCUAAACUGUUAAGCUCGAGACCGUUAGGGGUAACUGGAAUUUCUAGUGUAGGAGUGAAAUCCGUAGAUAUUAGAAGGAACACCAAUAGCGUAGGCAGGUUACUGGGACGGUUCUGACACUAAGGCACGAAAGCGUAGGGAGCAAACGGGAUUAGAUACCCUUGUAGUC